rnacentral:lncRNA from 10 species
CUUCCUUCCUUCCUGCCUUCCUCCCUCCCUGCCUUCCCUUCCUUCCUGCCUUCCUUCUUCCUUCCUCCCUUUUUUCUUUUCUCCCUUCCUUCCUUCUUAAUAUGUUUUUGGCCUUUUCUUUAUAUAUGUGGCCUAGCAAUAUCCUGUGUUUGGAAAAGUAUAAACCUAAGGCAUCACCUUUACAGAAAAUAUCUUCCACGGAAACAUCUAAAGGCCACAGAUCAGCCCUGGGGUUCAGAGGGAUCCUGACAGCUACUCCUCAAGAUCCUCUCUGUUGUGAUUCAUCCCCCCGGGGCCCUACAGUUUCUCCUUCCUGACUCUUACAUUUCUUUGGAUGGCAUCAUUAUUUUAGGUGCCAAGCACUGUGGAUUCUGCCUCUCAGUGUCCAGACACCCAUUUUCCUUCCCACUGUUCCUUCCCCAUGGAGAAGCCUGUGGCUGGCUGACAGCAGAGAGAGAUGCUCAACUUGGAGAAGGUGUUACCUGGGCCAGGUGGGGAAGGUUUGUUUGCAGAGCAAAGAAGUGAAGGAAGUAUUAACCCUUUGCAUGGCCUCCUGAGAAUCCGACAAGACGUAAAUAGCCAAGAAUAUCUGUGAAACUUCAUCACUGAGUUACAAUAUUUAUCACUGCAAGUGUGUUGUUCAUUGACACUAUAAAGCCAUGUGGAAUUAAGCAGCCUUGAAACACAAAAUGGAGAAAGGCUAAGAGCUGAGAAUUGUUGCCUUCAGGGAAAUACAAUCAAUGUCAAGCAAACAACCACCCCAAAAUGGUUAGCUUUAUCAGCAUUCAGGCCUACAGUGAACGCAAAUGUUCCAGAUCUGAGUUUCAAUUUUUAAAGAAUAAACAUAUGCAAAUGACCAUUAGUCUUAGUAGUUUUAGGGCUCAGAAUGAUCUUAUCUUGUUAACAUUCAGGGCAACUGCUUAUACCCAUUUGAAUGUCAUUUAGAGGGCUAGGAAAGACUGCUUCAACAUUUGAUGACUAAAUGGCAGGGCUCAGCCACAAUGCUCACUCCGAGAAAUGAGAAAUAGACACACCAGUAUGCUAGAUGCUGAUGCAGUUCAGGAAAUGCUACCCCAAAAUAUGGCCCCUCAGCAUACUGAGUAUUUUAAGCAGAAGGCAAUUAAGAAAACCACAAAAACAGAAAGGUCCCUCUGACCUUCUCCCACCCUCUCUCUCUUGAAGAUCCUCAUGUGACAGGUGACCUGCCAUAUAAUCAGAAGGAAGAAAUGUUACACAGAGAGGCUGAGAAGAAUCUGAGGACUUGCUAAGUUUUCCCCAGUUUAUUACCAUUAGAUCAUAUGCCUUUUUUGUUCAAUCAUACUUCUAUACAACUGUCCAUCAUUCAUUAAACCUAACCACAAAAGUAGUUUUCACUCGGUUUUUGAGUGAAGGCUCCUGUGUCACAUAAAACUUACAUUAAAUAAAUUUGUUCCACUU